CUCACACAGGGGAGUAACAGUUGGAACGGCUGCUAAUACCGCAUAAGCGCACAGUACCGCAUGGUACAGUGUGAAAAACUCCGGUGGUGUGAGAUGGAUCCGCGUCUGAUUAGCUAGUUGGCAGGGCAACGGCCUACCAAGGCGACGGUCAGUAGCCGACCUGAGAGGGUGACCGGCCACAUUGGGACUGAGACACGGCCCAAACUCCUACGGGAGGCAGCAUG
rnacentral:rRNA from 1 species